AGACACAAACAGAGAAACCAGCAGUGGGCACAGAAGGAGAAGAAGCACAUCAAAACAUGUACUGGGGUACAGCUCUGGCCGUAACAACUCGACUUGACUGCACCUGCCUGGUGCCGAAUUUGAGACCUGAACCCGACCCGUGACCAAGGCUUUAUUUUUAUUAUUUCUUCUAAGAAGACACGCCAUUUAAACUGAAAACUAGACUAAGGCUUUUCUAACACAAAAUGUCAAGAAUCUUUUGUUUAAGCUUGACAGGACAAUGUGAGGCUGCUGGGUACUGCCGCUGCUACCUACUGUAUACUUGAGUGUAUCCAUCAUGUUGUCAAUGUAAAUACCUGCAGCCUUUCAUAGCCUGCUCGUGUGGUGUUUAUCUGUGGAAGUACCUUCGUCUCAGUAUAAUGUAUUGCUGCUUAAGUAGCUGUGGAGGUACCUUUGUCUCAGUAUAAUGUAUUGCUGCUUGAGUACCAUUUCUGCUUGUGUAAUACUUCCAUCAGCAGCUGUUCAUCUGAGUUGUUCCCAUCUACAACAGAAAGGAAUCUGUGUGUGAGUGCGUACAAGUGUGUUGAAUGGAUACAUUUGCAGCUGUGAUAUUGUCAAUGGAAUCCUCUAUUAAAAAGAAGUCAACGCCUUGGA